AGGUCCUGCGUUGUAUCUUCCCAAGUGGCGUGGAUGUGAGGAGACACGACAUUUCACCUGAUGUUCCAUGGGAGACCCUACUGGUGAUGUGGACCUGACCCUCCGCCAUGUAGCAGACAACCCCCUCAGGUCCUGCGUUGUAUCUUCCCAAGUGGCGUGGAUGUGAGGAGACACGACAUUUCACCUGAUGUUCCAUGGGAGACCCUACUGGUGAUGUGGACCUGACCCUCCGCCAUGUAGCAGACAACCCCCUCAGGUCCUGCGGUGUAUCUUCCCAAGUGGCGUGGAUGUGAAGAGACAGAUCCCCUGAUGUUCCCUGGGCAAUCUACUUACAUACAAUUCAACUGCAUUACAAAUUUUAAUAAAAACCACAGGAAACUUCUAUUUUUAAAAGUUUAUUGAAGAAAAAUUUUU